rnacentral:rRNA from 1 species
UACAGAGGUCUCAAGCGUUGUUCGGAUUCAUUGGGCGUAAAGGGUGCGUAGGCGGCGCGGUAAGUCGGAUGUGAAAUCCCGGGGCUCAACCUCGGAACUGCAUUCGAUACUGCUUUGCUUGAGUACUGGAGAGGAGAUUGGAAUUUACGGUGUAGCAGUGAAAUGCGUAGAUAUCGUAAGGAAGACCAGUGGCGAAGGCGGAUCUCUGGACAGUUACUGACACUGAGGCACGAAGGCCAGGGGAGCAAACGGG